rnacentral:rRNA from 1 species
CCUGAACGCUGGCGGCGUGGCUAAGACAUGCAAGUCGAACGGGUGCAGCAAUGCACCAGUGGCGCACGGGUGAGUAAUGUAUCGCUAACGUGCCCUGGAGCCUGGGAUAGCUGUCCGAAAGGGCAGGUAAUACCGGAUGAGACCACGGAGAGGCAUCUCUCAGUGCUCAAAGCCGCAAGGCACUCUGGGAGCGGGCGAUAUCGAUCAGCUAGUUGCGGGGUAACGGCCCACCAAGGCUGCGACGCGUAGCUGGUCUGAGAGGACGGCCAGCCACAUCGGGACUGAGACACUGCCCGGACUCCUACGGGGGGCUGCAGUAACGAAUCUUCCGCAAUGCACGAAAGUGUGACGGAGCGACGCCGCGUGGAGGACGAAGUCCU